rnacentral:lncRNA from 1 species
CAUUUAAAUUUUUAUGGUUGAAGGAAAUGGAGGGCAAUUAGGAAAAUUCACUUAAAGCACAGAAACAUAAAAUAGGAAAGCCUGGUGUGAGGGGACUUCUUUUGAGCUCCUGUGGAACCUUCUCACUGCACUUACGGCAGGGGCUUGUGACUGCAAGCCUACUUUCUGUCUUGUCUUCUAGACCCCGAGUUCCCUGAGGGCAGAGGCCCUGUCUUCCAUCCCUCCACACCGCUGAUCCCCGCCGCUACCCCAGGCAGGGAGGUAGUAGUCAGCAGUGUGUAAUGAAACAAAUGAAUGACCCCACAAGAGGGGGCAAGGGCUGGGCACCGUGACUGCUUCCUGAGAGUACAGUAUGGAAGGAGGAAAAAGAAGACAACCUUACUGUAGGGAAGUCUGACAAACCAUACCGCAGCCACAGGGUCAAGGUCAACAUCAGCAGUGAUAACUCAUGUGGAGAGGACGUACCCUUGAUACACAGGGUGACAACGGCACUCUAGGCCUCUGUGGGCUUCCUUUCAAAAACUUCUAACUCCCAUCUAAACAUCAGAAAAACAUCAAAUUCCAACAGACUCUAUGAUAUCCUCAAGCAGGACUCCUAGACACUGUGAAGGUCACCAGAAAUAAAGAAACUCUGAGAAACCAUCACAGCCAAGAGGAGCCUAAGGAGACCUGGCGAUUUAAUGUCAUGUGGUCUCCUAGAGGGGUGUUCGGAGGGAGAAAUGGGUCUGGGAGGAGAGACCCAUCUGAGGGUAGUACGUUGGUGUCACACUUAACUCACGCUCCUUCAACUGCAACAUCCCAAACUCUCUACCUAGACACAAAGAACCAGUUUAGGGCCGUGGAGGACUUCCUGCCAAAGCCUAGCUCCGUCUUGGCCAACCUCUAGGCUGUUAAGGGCAACCAUGUGGAAGAUGGUUUGGUAUUUAGCUACAUGUCUUUUUCCCCAGCCCCUCGUCAUUGCCAAGCAGAAAGCCGAGGGCUGGCAGACUGAGGCCUGAGACACAAAGACAGCUUCCAAUUGGGGUUUACAGAAAGGGCAUCACAUGGCCUGGCUGGCAGGCCACACUUUGCCGUGCAGCCCCAUCCAUCAGCCACCCUCUGGGGGAUCUCAUUUUCCAGCUUGGCGUAGGGUACAUUUUCUAAAUGUGACCCUAUUUCUGUUAUGAGAAUCAAAGUGCUCCUACUGCAAGACCAUAAAUACUCAAAAGUGACAGCUAAUGGCAGUGGCAGUUCGCAAAAUGCCAAAUGGCAGCGAGAAGUGGACGCCAUAAAUUACAGCCCGACUCCUCCAUUCUCACUGAGGUGUUUUGUGGGUUUUUAGUGAUGAGAUCUGCUUUCAAGUGGAUUUACAGGGGCUCCCUGUGAAUUCAGGCAGAGCUUUUAAAAGUACUUCUAACAGAUGCCAAAAAGAAAACCAGAAGAGCCUACCACUUAAAGCCUAAAAACAAGUUAAUUAAAAAUGCUUUGAGGAGUUCCCAUCGUGGUUCAGCGGUUAGCAAACCCAACCAGCAUUCAUGAGGACUUGGGUUCGAUCCCUGGCCUCGCUCAGUGGGUUAAAGAUCCAACAUUGCCGUGAGCUAUGGCAUAGGUCGCAGAUGAGGCUCAGAUCUGGCGUUGCUGUGGCUAUGGCAUGGGCUGGCAGCUAUAGCUCCAAUUGGACCCCUAGCCUGGAAACAUCCAUAUGCCAUGGGUACGGCCCUAAAAACACACACACACAGACACGCAAAAAAGUGUUGAAUGUAUAAUGGCCAAAAUAUGGAAAGUAGCUCAUUUGAAGAUGGAAACAUCUAGUGUGUAAAUGCUAAUGAUUAUAAUAACAAUAAUGAAGACAGCUAAGAUAUAUUGGGUCAGGCACUGGGCUAAGCAUCUUACAUGGACUAUUUCAUUGAAUUCUUACAAGAGCUUCACAUCGUAGGUCUACGGUUGUCUUUAUUUUACACAUGUGGCAAUUCAGGUUCUAAGAGGUUAUUAAGCCAUUUAACUUCCCAGGUCACGCAGCGAGCUAGUGAGUGACAGCCUGGAGCCAUGCACACAAGGGGUCUCGAUUUAGAACUCAGGAUCCACGUGGCCCUGCCUAUCUCCCUCCCAGGCCCGCUGUCCCGAGACGGAACACAUCAACGGCUCACAAACCACAGUAGAUGCCCUGGUGCACUCAGUCUAUGGCUGCAUAAGCGUCAAACCGCAGAACCCUGUCAUGAGCCAAUGAACAAAAGGACCAACUUUUAUUUUUUUNAAGGACCAACUUUUAGAAAAUACAAAGGAUCCCUAUUUUCAUGAAACUGUGAAUUCUAGGCCUGAUCUUUUAGUCUCAGCACCCUCAUCAAUAAAAUGAAGGCAAUACGACCUUCUGACUUUAGAAAAAUUUCACGUAUGUGAAAAAAUCCUUCAAAACCCGAAGGCACUGUACAAAUUGUGCUGUUAAUGAAAACGCCAAGAUAAAACGGAUCAAGUCAACCGCCAGCAGGCCUUCGCUCCCAUCCCCUCUACGGAGGCAGAGACUAGAACCUGCUCAGGGUCACAGAAUUGAGAGGCAGUGGCUCAACCUCGAGGCAUCUGACGGGCCAUUUGCUCUUUCCGGUCUCAGGGCCACCCUCGGUGCCCCCGUAUCCCCCACCACACACCAGGGCUCCAGGAAACAGAGUUUGCGAACUCCUGAAAAAGUCGGCUCCAAAGGUCCCUCCGGGGGCUGGAGCUCAAGUCAGCUUUCCUGUCUCCAGGCAGCAGUUCCGCAGAGUGCAGCCUGAGGACGGGCGUCACUGCGGCGUCAGAAAGAGCCCAUCUGUGCUGCCCUGAGCACAGUUUGCACAGCUGCUGCUGUGGCCUGCGACCCGAAGGCGGAAACUGCAGGCUCCCCAAGACCAAGAGGCCCCCUCAUUUCAUGCUCAUUUGGUUUAUCUGCAGCUGGAUGGGGACAGUUCUGAUGAGUGUGGGGAAAGGAGAAGGCCUGUGCAGGGCUGUGAGGGGACCAGUGCUACCGCCAGCUGUCUAAGGACACGUCUCCAGGUUCUGUCCUUCCACAAAUUUCUUCCCUUUGGGAGCUGUCCCACUUUUUCACAAAAUUCUAUGCAUCAGAUCAUUUCCCCCAGGCCCUGUUUCUUCUAUUUUCUGACUUGCGUAAAGCUGUUGAAAGGAAAAUUACAGAAUCAUGGAAUCUCAGAGCUGAGAGGAUCGUAGAUGCUAAAGGUUGUCUGCCUCAACCUCCCACCCCCACCCCUUCCUCCUAUCUGGCACUUAGGUCCCCUCUAAAGCAUUUCUGCCAAAGGGUUAUCCAGGCUUUGCUUGAAUACCUCCAAGGACGGGUCAGGCACUGGGCUGUUUGUUCCAUAUUCCGCCUAUCGUCAGAAUGAUGUAGUGACAGGUCGAGAGCACAGACCCUGCCCAGAUCUGAUGACAUAACCUGGCGGGGAUCAGGGCAAAAUGAAAACAUGGAGACAGACCCUUCUUUAAAAAUUAAGAAUUUCGAGGUGGGAACGCAGAGCAAUGACUCAGGCACAGGGCCCUUCUAUGCGUGGGAAGCUUUUAAGCAGGGGGCCCUGGGCGACAGCCCUGGCUGCAGCCCAUGUGACCUGAUACUGAUGGCAGAUUCCAAGGGCUUGGAUCCCACUCACUGACCGGGACUAGCCUCAUGUGUGAAGUGAAGGGAAUGAUGUCUAUCUCAUAACUUGUCUUGCCCGUGAAGUGCUUAGAGCAAAGCCUGGCACAGAGUAAACACCACCAUUUUUGUGCCCAAGUUACAACUAUGGACAGAAAGAGAAGUACACAGGGCAACCUCCACACCAGAGCUUUUGUUAUCUGCACAUGGUAUAUUCAGCCUCGAGAGCCUUUUCUACACCUGGAGCAGAGCUGCUGGCUCCUGGCCCCACGGCCAGCCACUAAGGUCACGGGUAGUAAUAACCACAGCCACCAUCAAGGGCAGAUCCAGUUUUGUGGGACCUGAUGUUUAAGUUUUGGGGAUGAGGACAGGGGCGAGGAAAGGCUCUUUGAGAAAAAGAAUAUGAAAUAAAGGCAUGCACAUAACGUAUUUUUUUAAAUGCUGCUGGAUGUAGUCCCAACUCAAUUUUCUCACCACAGGAUUCUAAAACUGCCUAUGGCCGUCCCAAUACCAUGGACCAUGAAGAGGAGUCAGAGGUGAGAGAGGCAGCAGUCCUACAGUUGGCUGUGGCUUAACCAUCACGCUUUUGCAAAUUUUAAGAGGACAUAUGACCAUGGGACAUGUUGCUGGGCCCCUCCAAGGACUCUGGAGGGGAGGUGCCCCAAGCUCCAUGGUAAACUGAUGCUGGUACCACAGUUCAUGUCUAAGAUACUCCAUGGAAAAGCAAUCCGCCCAAGAAGCAAGGCGCAGUCACAAGUGCUGCUGAUUCUAACCCUUGAAUGCCUGUGUCAUGAAUAUGUCUGCUCCUCUCCACUACUGCCUGCCUGGGCUUCACGGCUCCCAGAUGGCUGCCCCACUGGCACCCUGGUCCCCUCCUGGUCAGUCUCUACAGAGCAGCUGUGGUGACCCACCCAGAAUUCAAACUUGACCAUGGAAACCCUCCAACAGUUUCCCACUGCCAUUGGGAUAAACUGCUUACCAUGCAGCACACAAUCCUUCCAAGACCCCCCUAACACUCUCUUCCUGGUCCCAAACUCUUCAAGGCCCAGCCCCAGGCAGACAAGCAGGACACUCUGUCUGGAAUCCUCUCCUCAUCCCAUACUCCAACCUGGUGAAUUCAUCCUUUAAUACUCACUUAAAUGGCAAUUCUUCCAAGAAGCUUUCUGUGGGCCUCCCCAAAGCAAAAAAAAAAAAAUCUGAGUUUGGCACCUGCCAUGCACUCCCACCGCACCCUCUACUUCCUCCAUGGAAGCACUUGUGUCACCUUCUUGCCAUUACAGUACUCAACAGCCUGCCUCCCAGUGAUGCUGUGCGUGGCAGGAGAGAGGGCCCUGUCCACCCCGCAGCCCCAGGGCUAGCACAGUAUUGGAAGCAUGGUAGGUACUGAACACCAUGCACUGGUCAACAGGGAGCAUCUCAGAAUGCCAAACCCAGGCUGUGGUGUCCUGAACCCUGGGGUGGCGUUCCCAGCCCAGCAUUGCUGUCAACCUGCUGGACAACCCAUGGCAACAACCAGGCCUCCACC